AAAGAAGAUGGACAUUGUGAAUCUCAAAGAGAGAGGAAUCAGAUUUGGAAUGAGAAGUUCUAGAAAUACCUUAGUCCAUUAUUUCACCUCUAUUUCCUGUAUUAUUAUGCACAAGAGUGAUUUACGAUGAAAAUCUAUGACUCAUCAAAUCUAAAAGAACUCUUUCAGUAAUUAUAAAAUAAAAAUUCUGAGUGCACGCAUAGUGUCAGAGUGUCAUAGUUUUAAUUGUCAGCAUUUUAAAUCUCUCAGUAGUAUGUAAAAUAAUGCUAUGCCUCAUACUCAAGGAUGUCUUAAAUUAGAUAAUGUUAUUCUUUGUGCCAAGCUCUGUCCUGGUGCCAGGGAGUGAACAAGAAUCAAAAGCCUGGUUGUUUGUUCAGCUUGGUUUCGGAGAGUCCUUUAGAUGUCAGUCAGGGACCUGUAUGACAACCACUUUUCAUUCAUCAACUCUCGCUUCCAAGGUUGCCCUUGGGGUUAUAGUCUCCAGAAGUCCAUAAGAGUUUCCCUUUUCCAUUGUGCCUUGAAGUAGCCUAGAGCACCUCUGUUCUCAUUUAAUUGAUGGGAACUCAGUCACGUGGCCUCAUCCCCUGCAGGAGAGUCUGGGAAAUGUGGCGGGUAAACGGUGACUACGGACGCUAACGAGCAGCCAGCAGUCUUGCUGUACGCUAUAAGCAACACUGUGGAAAUGAAGGAGCAUCCCAGCAGCCCAGAACCUCCCUGAAGGGAUCCCUGGGCGGCGCAGCGGUUUAGCGCCUGCCUUUGGCCCAGGGCGCGAUCCUGGAGACCCGGGAUCGAAUCCCACAUCGGGCUCCCUGUGUGGAUUCUGCUUCUCCCUCUGCCUGUGUCUCUGCCUCUCUCAAUCUCUCUCUCUCUCUGUGUGACUAUCAUGAAUAAAUAAAUAAAAUCUUAAAAAAAAAAAAAAAGAACCUCCCUGAAGAAAACAAAAACACCAACUUGCCUGUCCUGCCCUUGUGUCUUGGUGGCUGCUGACCUGAACAUCAGGCACAUCACUGAAUAGAUGUUCGUGACUCAGAAUAUUAGCCCAUUGGUAACCAGUUUUUGAUAGCCUUGGUUACCCGUGGGGGCUAAGAGGAUUAAAGGAGUUUGUGGUGCUUAUCCUAAACCAUGAAUUUCUACUUGAGAUAUUUUUGGGCAGAAGAGAUUUUUCAGGAAUGCCUGUAAAGCCCCAUCACUUAGCACUGCCAAUUCCGCCUCUCUGCCUGUUCAGGGGGGCUGGUGGGGACUGGCUUAUUUGCUCAGUAGACUAUGUGCUGGUGACUAGGAACACAGGGCUCCAGCCUUCAGGGUACAGAACUGAGCACUGGUGCAGAGGAGUUCGGGUUUCACCAAUUACAUGCUGUGUGACUUGGGCAAAUUAGUUAACAUUUCUGGGCAUUGGAUCUCUCAGCUGUAAAGGUAUAGUCCUCAAGUGUAAAUGUAGCAGCAAUGCCUGCCCUUACCACUUCACAGGUUGUUGAGAGGAUCCAGAGAGCUGGGGUAGGGAGAGAGCUCUGUGAAUUGUAAAGCUUCAUGCAAACACUAUAUUAUGUUGACAAAGAGAGCGCAGGUCUGCGCUCUGUGAAAUUUCCUUGAGUGAUGGUGGUCUUGCUCAUACUCAGUCUGUCUGAUGGGACAUUUCUAAGCCACUUGGUUGAAAAGCCUCUCCUUCUCCGUCCAGACACACACACACACACACACACACACACACACACACACGGAGCUUGUUCUAUUUGGUAUUCAGGGUAAAGCCUAUAAGUCAGGGCUGAGGAACUGAGGCCUAAUAUUAGUGGGAAAUCCUCAGGAAAAGGAGGGAAGCUGGGGCCAUGGCUGCCUCUCACCUGAGUGGGAACUGAACACAUUUUUCGUUGGCAGCAGCCUGGGGGUGCUGUGAGUACCAGGAGGAGCCCAUAUGCCCAGUUUGGCACAGCACACAACUUUGUCUCCCCUCUCUGGCCAGCAAUGUCCACAAUAGCCAAACCAGGGAAAGAGCCCAGAUGUCUCGCUGUCCCUAGGCCUUUUAAGCUGCACUGGCUCCUCUUGCUCCUCUAACAUUUCCUAGAUGAACAGAGGUUGGAAGCAAGAAGCAUUCUCUCCACUUUAGAACUAUACAAAUCAAGAGAGAGGGAAAGGAAUUUCUGGCUCCUUUCUAUGUCUCUACCUGUCUUCAGUGUGAACCGUUUCUGUCAUUCUCUGAGUUCUGUGACAUAUUCUUGAGUUCCUGGGCCUUUCUUUUUUUUUAGAGGGUUUUUUUUUGUUUUUUUCAUUUAAAUUCCAUUAGUUAACAUACAAUGUAUUAUUGGUUUCAGAGGUAGAGGUCAGUGACUCAUCAGUCUUAUAUAACACCCAGUGCUCAUUAUAUCAUGUGUCCUCUUAAUGCCUAUCACCCAGUUACCCCAUCCUCCCCACCCCCCACCCCUCCGGCAAUUCUCAGUUUGUUUCCUUUGAUUAAGAGUUUCAUAUGUUUUUCUCCCUUUCUGAUUUCAUCUUUUAUAUUUUUUUCCUCUCUUCCCCUAUGAUCCUCUGUUUUGUUUCUUAAAUUCCACGUAUGA
rnacentral:lncRNA from 1 species